rnacentral:rRNA from 1 species
UACGGAGGGUGCAAGCGUUAUCCGGAUUCACUGGGUUUAAAGGGUGCGUAGGUGGGUUGGUAAGUCAGUGGUGAAAUCUCCAAGCUUAACUUGGAAACUGCCGUUGAUACUAUCAAUCUUGAAUCUCGUGGAGGUAAGCGGAAUAUGUCAUGUAGCGGUGAAAUGCUUAGAUAUGACAUAGAACACCGAUAGCGAAGGCAGCUUGCUACACGAGUAUUGACACUGAGGCACGAAAGCGUGGGGAUCAAACAGGAUUAGAAACCCGUUGUAGU